ACAGAUCGUUCAGAGUUUGAUCCUGGCUCAGGAUGAACGCUAGCGAUAGGCUUAACACAUGCAAGUCGAGGGGCAGCAUAAUUUUAGCUUGCUAAGAUUGAUGGCGACCGGCGCACGGGUGCGUAACGCGUAUGCAACUUGCCUGUCAGUGGGGGAUAACCCGGAGAAAUUCGGACUAAUACCGCAUACACUUAGUUUGUUGCAUGACAGAUUAAGGAAAGAUUUAUUGCUGACAGAUAGGCAUGCGUUCCAUUAGUUAGUUGGUGAGGUAACGGCUCACCAAGACGACGAUGGAUAGGGGGACUGAGAGGUUGACCCCCCACACUGGUACUGAGAUACGGACCAG
rnacentral:rRNA from 1 species